rnacentral:rRNA from 1 species
UGGGGAAUAUUGCACAAUGAGCGAAAGCCUGAUCCAGCAAUGCCGCGUGUGUGAAGAAGGCCUUCGGGUUGUAAAGCACUUUUGUCCGGAAAGAAAUCCUUGGCUCUAAUACAGUCGGGGGAUGACGGUACCGGAAGAAUAAGCACCGGCUAACUACGUGCCAGCAGCCGCGGUAAUACGUAGGGUGCAAGCGUUAAUCGGAAUUACUGGGCGUAAAGCGUGCGCAGGGCGGGUUUGCUAAGACCGAUGUGAAAUCCCCGGGCUCAACCUGGGAACUGCAUUGGUGACUGGCAGGCUAGAGUAUGGCAGAGGGGGGUAGAAUUCCACGUGUAGCAGUGAAAUGCGUAGAGAUGUGGAGGAAUACCGAUGGCGAAGGCAGCCCCCUGGGCCAAUACUGACGCUCAUGCACGAAAGCGUGGGGAGCAAACAGGAUUAGAUACCCUGGUAGUCCACGCCCUAAAGCGAUG